AACAUUUUGUGGGGCUUUUUUUUUGUAUUACUCUGACUAAGGACAGCAGUGUAGAUUUGGGCAAAGUGGAUUUGCAUUGGUCUUAAUUGAAUAUUAAAUUUUGUUCUUCACAACACUAACUCCAGCAGGUGCUGAAGGGAACUCAUCCAGGCGUGACAGCGUGACAUGAAAGUGCUGAUGUCUAGAUGUGCUCUCUUCCUGUUACACUUGCCAGUGACAGGAUAAAUCUAGGUGCACAGGUGCCUGGCUGACGAUAGUGCAGUUUCUUUAGUAUAAUUGUGGCAAACAUCCACGUAUAAUUAGUAGGUGGUACAUUUGUUUCUUUUUAAUAUUACUUUAACCAUUCCUUUAAAAAAAGUGGGAUGACUCUUGGUAAGAAGUGUAUUUGUUUUAGUGUUAUGAAAUGUAUAUGUGAUCAUAUAUUAGGUUAUGGAUAUUUGAAAAGAGGAAAGUACUUCCAAAGACAACAAAGGCUAAGAAUUUGACCCAUAAAAUAAUCUUUGAUAACUCUUCUUCGGUGCAGUUAUUGGCUAACAUAACCAUAGCAGUUGAUAUUCACCCAGGAGUGAAUCUAAAUCCUAAAAGGGAAAAUCUGGAAUACCGAUUUAGACUGAAUAGAAGUAAAGUCAUUCUACAAUUAAUAUUAGAUGUUCUUUUUUCACUUAGUUAUGCACAGAAUUCCAUAGUGAAGCAGGAUAUGGCUAAACAGAGGUACGAGUAUGAAUAGAAAGAAAAAAAAAAGAUCACAUUGACAAAGAUGAAGAGAGCUUAAAUCAAUGUAUAUAUUAACUACUCUUUUUUUCUUUUAAAAUUCAGUGAGUUUGUAUUUGAUUCAUGUCUUCAAAUAUUUAGCUAUAUUUAUUAGCUUAUUAUAUAGUGCUUCAAGUAUGAAAGCUAGAAUCUGUAACAGAAUUUUUAAACUUCUAAAGGAAAUUAUUGUCAGAA